rnacentral:rRNA from 1 species
GACGAACGCUGGCGGCGUGCCUAAUACAUGCAAGUCGAGCGGACAGAAGGGAGCUUGCUCCCGGAAGUUAGCGGCGGACGGGUGAGUAACACGUGGGCAACCUACCCUGUAGAUCGGGAUAACAUCGAGAAAUCGGUGCUAAUACCGGAUAAUCAUUUGAAGUGCAUGCUUCGAAUGUAAAAGAUGGCUCCGGCUAUCACUACGGGAUGGGCCCGCGGCGCAUUAGCUAGUUGGUAAGGUAAUGGCUUACCAAGGCAACGAUGCGUAGCCGACCUGAGAGGGUAGUCGGCCACACUGGGACUGAGACACGGCCCAGACUCCUACGGGUGGCAGCAGUAGGGAAUCGUCCGCAAAGGACGAAAGUCUGACGGGGCAACGCCGCGUGAGUGAUGAAGGUUUUCGGAUCGUAAAGCUCUGUUGUUAGGGAAGAACAAGUGCCGUUUGAAUAAGGCGGCACCUUGACGGUACCUAACCAGAAAGCCACGGCUAACUACGUGCCAGCAGCCGCCGUAACAC